CCCAGAGUCUGGAACCCCGGGAACUGGGGAUAAUACCGGAUAGAUCAUCUGUGCUGGAAGGCUGGGUGGUUGAAACUUCCGGGGCUUUUGGAUGGGUCUGCGGCUGAUUAGGUUGUUGCCGGUGUAACGUACCGUCAAGCCUGUAAUCAGUACGGGUUGUGGGAGCAAGAGCCCGGAGAUGGAUUCUGAGACACGAAUCCAGGCCCUACGGGGCGCAGCAGGCGCGAAAACUCUACAAUGCAGGCAACUGCGAUAGGGGAACAUCGAGUGAUCCUCAUAUUGGGGGUCUGUCCACCCGUCUAAAAAACGGGUGUUAGCAAGGGCCGGGCAAGACCGGUGCCAGCCGCCGCGGUAAUACCGGCGGCUCGAGUGGUGGCCGAUAUUAUUGAGUCUAAAGGGUCCGUAGCCGGCUUUGCAAGUCUCUCGGGAAAUCCAGCGGCUUAACCGUUGGUCGUCCGGGGGGUACUACAUUGCUUGGGACUGGGAGAGGUAGGAGGUACUCAGGGGGUAGGAGUGAAAUCCUGUAAUCCUUUGGGGACCACCGGUGGCGAAGGCGUCCUACCAGAACAGGUCCGACGGUGAGGGACGAAAGCUAGGGGCACGAACCGGAUUAGAUACCCGGGUAGUCCUAGCCGUAAACGAUGCUCGCUAGGUGUCACAACAGUCGUGAAUUGUUGUGGUGCCGUAGGGAAGCCGUGAAGCGAGCCACUUGGGAAGUACGACCGCAAGGUUGAAACUUAAAGGAAUUGGCGGGGGAGCAC
rnacentral:rRNA from 1 species